UACGUAGGGUGCAAGCGUUAAUCGGAAUUACUGGGCGUAAAGCGCGCGUAGGGGGUUCAGUAAGUUGGAAGUGAAAUCCCCGGGCUCAACCUGGGAACUGCUUUCAAAACUGCUGAGCUAGAGUACGGUAGAGGGUGGUGGAAUUUCCUGUGUAGCGGUGAAAUGCGUAGAUAUAGGAAGGAACACCAGUGGCGAAGGCGACCACCUGGACUGAUACUGACACUGAGGUGCGAAAGCGUGGGGAGCAAACAGG
rnacentral:rRNA from 1 species